rnacentral:rRNA from 1 species
UGGGGAAUUUUGGACAAUGGGCGAAAGCCUGAUCCAGCAAUGCCGCGUGUGUGAAGAAGGCCUUCGGGUUGUAAAGCACUUUUGUCCGGAAAGAAAUCCUUGGCUCUAAUACAGUCGGGGGAUGACGGUACCGGAAGAAUAAGCACCGGCUAACUACGUGCCAGCAGCCGCGGUAAUACGUAGGGUGCAAGCGUUAAUCGGAAUUACUGGGCGUAAAGCGUGCGCAGGCGGUUUGCUAAGACCGAUGUGAAAUCCCCGGGCUCAACCUGGGAACUGCAUUGGUGACUGGCAGGCUAGAGUAUGGCAGAGGGGGGUUAGAAUUCCACGUGUAGCAGUGAAGUGCGUAGAGAUGUGGAGGAAUACCGAUGGCGAAGGCAGCCCCCUGGGCCAAGUACUGACGCUCAUGCACGAAAGGCGUGGGGGAGCAAAGCAGGAUUAGAUACCCCUGGUAGUCCACGCCCUAAACGAUGUCAACUAGUUGUUGGGGAUUCAUUUCCUUAGUAACGUAGCUAACGCGUGAAGUUGACCGCCUGGGGGAGUACGGUCG